rnacentral:rRNA from 1 species
GACGAACGCUGGCGGCGUGCUUAACACAUGCAAGUCGAACGGAAAGGCCCUGCUUUUGUGGGGUGCUCGAGUGGCGAACGGGUGAGUAACACGUGAGUAACCUGCCCUUGACUUUGGGAUAACUUCAGGAAACUGGGGCUAAUACCGGAUAGGAGCUCCUGCUGCAUGGUGGGGGUUGGAAAGUUUCGGCGGUUGGGGCUGGACUCGCGGCUUAUCAGCUUGUUGGUGGGGUAGUGGCUUACCAAGGCUUUGACGGGUAGCCGGCCUGGGAGGGUGACCGGCCACAUUGGUACUGCGAUACGGCCCAGACUCCUACGGGAGGCAGCAGUGGGGAAUAUGGCACAAUGGGCGGAAGCCUGAUGCAGCAACGCCGCGUGCGGGAUGACGGCCUUCGGGUUGUAAACCGCUUUCGCCUGUGACGAAGCGUGAGUGACGGUAAUGGGUAAAGAAGCACCGGCUAACUACGUG